GGCGAACGGCUGAGUAACACGUGGGCAACCUGCCCUUUGCACUGGGAUAGCCUCGGGAAACCGAGGUUAAUACCGGAUACUCCAUAUUUGUCGCAUGGCGAAUAUGGGAAAGCUCCGGCGGCAAAGGAUGGGCCCGCGGCCUGUUAGCUAGUUGGUGGGGUAGUGGCCUACCAAGGCAAUGAUGGGUAGCCGGGUUGAGAGACCGACCGGCCAGAUUGGGACUGAGACACGGCCCAGACUCCUACGGGAGGCAGCAGAC
rnacentral:rRNA from 1 species